ACUGGUGAACCUACCCAGGAUUGUGGAAGCUCUGGCAGCGCAGAAAACACAGACAUCACAGGCCUCCAGCCAUGCUAGAACUGCCAUUAGAUAGUACACCAACCAUCCGAUUUUGUAACUACAGUCAAACCUGCACAAGACAACCACUUGAGGGACCCGGCAAAAGCGGCCGGUUUUGGACAAGUGGUCGGUUUGAAGAGUAUCAGCUCACAACAUGCCCGAGGCAUAGUAUAAAUGGUUUCCAAUUUUCGUACAACAAGAUUUCUUCCCAUCAGCAGACUACCCCAUUGACCCCAAAUGACCCAUCCACGUGCAUCCUCCGCGAUCUUUAUUUGGAACAUAACCUCUUAUGGCAGUCAAAAUCCGACGCAAACUGGCCACGCUAGUUAUCAUCGAAAACCGAUGACACCUCGAGCUUGAAAAUGACGCGGUCGUUAUGGGCAGUGAUUUGGUCCUGUGUGGUCCCAAGUUUUGGCAGUCGCAGUCGCUUAAUGCUUACAUCAAUGGGGAAAAUUUUCGAGACUUAGAAAAAGCGGUCGUAAUGACCAGAUGGUCGGCUAGAAGGGGUGGUCACUUGGGCAGGUUUGACUGUAAUGUGUGGUAAGAAGUCUGGAAAUUGUUUUUUUACUUUUUACUGUGGAAGUUUCAUUUUUUACCUGAUGCAAACUGUACAUAUUUUUAAUUUGUAUCAGUGUAUAUCCAGAUUUUAUGUAUUGUAUGCAAGCUAGUUUGUAGCGUAACUUUUGUACAUUACAUAUUGUAUAGUAACAACUGCCCAAGAGUACCACUUACGGGACUGACAAGAUUUGGUCUAUUUGGACAGGUGGCGACUAUAGACAGGAUUUUAAGUGCUUGUGUGAAUGGAAAAAUUAUUCCCACAACCACCAAAAAAUUAGACCAGUGGUCCUUAUGUAGAUAUGUAGAGGUGGUCACUAGUACAGGUUUUACUGUUAAUAGGUUUUCUGGCCUUCCAUACAUAAACUUUGCUAUUGCCUGUUCAUUCUUGUGAUGAAUAUUAUUAUUAAAUUAAUGUAAACAACAUGUUGGCAACUCAUAGUUUUGAUAUCAAUGACAAGGAAUUGGUCAGAAAGGAUUGUUUUUAUGCAGAUCUUUUAACACAUAAGAAAUUGAUACUUUAGACAUAUUGUGGUAAAGUGUUAUUUUUGUACAUAAAAUAGUUCAAGGAAAUACUCUCACAGUAUAUAGACCAAAUUCUUUUCCUGAAAAGCUGAUACCGCACUAAUCUAAUGUUUGGGGAGCAAGUGUAAUGGGUGAAAAUUGCUGAUGAAGAAAUAUAACUAAAGGCAGCUGUUGUCAACUUUUUUUCUUCAAGAUGAAUAAACUGGAAGAAAUGGAAAAACUAGA